GACGAGCGCUGGCGGCGUGCUUAACACAUGCAAGUCGAACGGAGUGGCGAACGGUUGAGUAACGCGAGGGUGAUCUGCCUUGCACUUCGGGAGAAGCUUGGGUAACUGGGUCUAAUACCGGAUAGUGCAAGAUGAGCUCGCGGACUAUCAGCUUGUUGGUGGGGUAAUGGCCUACCAAGGCGUCGACGGGUAGCCGGCCUGAGAGGGUGUACGGCCACAUUGGGACUGAGGUACUGCCCAGACUCCUGCGAGAGGCAGCAGUGGGGAAUAUUGCACAAUGGGCGGAAGCCUGAUGCAGCGACGCCGCGUGGGGGAUGAAGGCCUUCGGGUUGUAAACUCCUUUCGACAGGGACGCGGUACCUGUAUAGGAAGCACUGGCUAACUACGUGCCAGCAGCCGCGGUAAUAC
rnacentral:rRNA from 1 species